GACUCCUCGUUUAUUUCUAGAUUGAUGGAUGGUAACAGAGCCUUCUCAAGGCAAAGAGAGGCAUUCGUGUCAUUAGGACUACGGAAGAGAUUUUAAUUAAUUGGACAAAUGCAUUCUUGGGCAAGGCGUUUCACAUCCUCUAUCCCUUCUCAACAUCUACAAAGUAAGAAAAAUCCAAACCCAAUCUCAAUUGAAACAAGUUUAUACAAGGUCAUAAAACCACAAGUUCGAAUUUAAUAGUCAUGCCUAAAUGAAAGCUUGUUUGGUGGCCAAGAUAUGAUUAAAGUAAGAUGAAUAAGAUUGUUAACUCUUAUAGUAUUCAAUAUUUGAUGCGCACUAAUUAAGUUUGGAUUCACUUGUACUCAGCUCGUAAAUGUGGGAAGUCUGAAAAAGAUUAAGGAGAACAACAAAAUUUCAUCAA